GAUUUACUCCCUCCGUCCGGAAAUACUUGUCAUCAAAAUGAAUAAAAGGGGAUGUAUCUAGACGUAUAUUAGUUCUAGAUACAUCCCUUUUUAUCCAUUUUGAUGACAAGUAUUUUCGGACGGAGGGAGUAAUUA
rfam:Triticum aestivum genome assembly, contig: Triticum_aestivum_CS42_TGACv1_scaffold_112052_2AS